rnacentral:rRNA from 1 species
UACGGAGGAUCCAAGCGUUAUCCGGAAUCAUUGGGUUUAAAGGGUCCGUAGGCGGUUUGGUAAGUCAGUGGUGAAAGCCCAUCGCUCAACGGUGGAACGGCCAUUGAUACUGCCAGACUUGAAUUAUUAGGAAGUAACUAGAAUAUGUAGUGUAGCGGUGAAAUGCUUAGAGAUUACAUGGAAUACCAAUGCGUAAGGCAGGUUACUACUAAUGGAUUGACGCUGGAUGGAACGAAAGCCGUGGGUAGCGAACAGG